CUUCUGAAUGGAAUUCUUUAGAUGAUGUCCAGUCUGAUUCCUUCUGCUGGGCCUACAGUUGGUGCACAGAACUUUGAUUCUCCCAUUCCACCCACCAACUUUUGCCAUCAGAACAGCUUGUGGAUUUAGACCUUUUAUCUUGAUCUGGGACAGCCAUCUCACCUGCUCUUGCCCUUGCACUGCCCUUGAACUGAGAUUUAUACCAUCAGAAACCCUGAUCCGCUGGCUUUGGGAGCUGGAUUGAACACUGCCCCACUCAUCUCAGUUGCCAGCUACCAGAUGCCAGAUGAUGAGACUUCUCAGGCUCCCAAACAUCCUGAGCCUGUCUACCUGGAACUAGUGGCUGUCUUAGUAAAUAAUGUUAGAAUACUUGUAGUUUAUCAGAUCCUAUGGCAAUUAUAUGUCUUACAAAUGUACUCAUUAGUUCUAAUACUUAAAACUUUGCUUUGGGUACUAAAAUGUAGGGGGAAAGUGGCUUUUCUGGAUGAAUCAGUCUUUUAGAAUUAGUUUUCAUUUGGUUUGCAAGUGAGUUCUUUGGUGAAAUGAAGUACUUAAUUCAGUCUGUCUUUCCAAAUGUGUCCAUUCCUUCAUGAAUUGAUUGCUAUGUUUUCGUCCCUUUUCUAAGUGUUCUUCUUUAUAUCUUUUAUUAUAAAUCAAAUGUAUUUUAUUUGAACAGUUAAUUUAUGAGAAAUGUAUACAUGAGGAACUUAAAAUAUUAAAUUGUGUUGUCACAUACAA